UCAAAUGACGAGAAAAAAAAUUCAAUUAGCUCUAGAUCCGUAGUCGCAUCUGCGGCAGUGACGGAUAAUAAUUUUAUCUGAUGA
rnacentral:snoRNA from 1 species